rnacentral:misc_RNA from 1 species
CUUCGACUUUCGAUUACGUUUAGUGAGGUUGUAGUAACUUUUGAUGUUAUAUUUCAGAAACUCAAUUGGUGGGGAUUAAAAAAGGGUGUGAUACAUCGAUGCGUUAUCAUCUAGCAUAUCUUAUCACAUUAUCAUGAUUUAUUAAUAGUUUGUCUUUGUGCAUCCCGCGUUCACUAAAAACAGAUUUGGGUUAGAAACUGUUCGGUAAUUUGUCUUUCCUACGUAAACAUAAACUUUCACAUUUCCUUAUUGACAUAUGAUACAGGCUUGAAUGAUAUCACGAAUCAAUAUUAGCGUUUGAAAAUUGCUUUUGAAACAAAUUUUAUGAAAUUGAACUUUUCAAUUACCGUAUUUUAUAAAACUUAUCAAUCCUUUAUCUAAACUGUUUUAUUAAUUAGUUCCUAGAACUGAGAAUCAAUCUUAUUUUUCUUUCAAGCUUGAGUAUUGUCCCAAAAAAUUAAUAAAAUGUCCAAACUUGAAACAGGUUUUCAGAAUACAUUUGAAUAAGUUGCACUUUUGUUUAUCAUGUGCAGAAUGUCUGCGCGUUGGAACUUAUGUAAGUGUUGCUGUGGCGGCAAUGAGGAUGAUCGAGCGCCUCAUUUUUAUUGUGGAUGUGAAGCUAGUAGCAAUGUAAAACGUAGCAAAUUAAAAAUGUACGGCGAAGACUUGUCUACUGAAGAUAUUGACAAACAAACAUUAAUUUUUGAUGGUAAUGAAAGUACUGCUUCCGAUAACAACACUGAAAAGCGAGAAAAAGAUGAAUGGGUUGUGCAUAAUCCGUUUCACGGUGAAUAUAUGCCGGAUCAUCUCAAAACAAUUGGACAUUGGCUUCCACUUUAAUCCAAGAUUCGAUCAACAGUAUAUUGCAAGGAACUCCAAGAUUGAUGGAAAAUGGGGUAUCGAAGAAGCUCAGUCUUACUGCCGAUUUCCGUUUUCAAGAGGAGACAAAUUCUGCGUAGAAAUUUUCGCAACUCAUAAUGAAUUCAUGGUUGCUGUGAACGGCUUACAUUACUGUGCCUUCUCAUAUCGAUAUCCCCUAUUCGAUCUGAACAGAAUUGAGAUUUUUGGAAAUUUAACAUUACAAAAAAUAGUGUGCGUUUCGAGCAAAAUUUACCCAUCUGAAUUGUCGAAUACUCUACUGCCAAAAUCACAUUUCUUGUCAAUUUCCAACUGCAGAACCAAAUCGCUCAGCUCAGAUCCAUUGGACUGUGUCACUCCUCUGGUUAUAUCAUUAGAUAAUAAAAUUAGUGCCGGAACUGAAAUCGAAAUCAUUGGCAGAGUGAAACUCCUUCCACAUUCGUUUUACGUGAAUCUUCAGCGGGGCAAACUGAACUGUCCGCAUCCAGUGAUCAAUCUGCACGUUAAUGCACGCUUCCGCGAGAAGCCGAACCGAGGCUGCUGCACCAUUCUGAGCAACUCGUGGAUCAGUGACGAGUGGGGCAGUGAGCAGUUUGCAAGUCGCGACUCCUACUUCUUCGCCGGUCAACACUUCCGGCUCACCAUCAAGUGCCAGGACGAGGCCUUCCUGCUCUCCAACAACGGAAACACUAUCAUGGCCUUCACGCAUCGCGCCGACUACAGUCGCGUCAACACCAUCUUAAUUGUUGGCGACAUAUUUGUUCAGUCAGUUACAUUGCAAUAACAGCUGAUAUUAGCACUAGUGUCAACACCAGUAUCUUAAUUGUUGGAGACAUAUUUUUUCAGUCGGUUACAUUGCAAUAACAGCUGAAAUUAGCACUAGUGUCAACACCAGCAUCUUAAUUGUUGGCGAGAUAUUUUUUCAGUCGGUUACAUUCCAAUAACAGCUGAUAUUAGCACUAGUGUCAACACCAGCAUCUUAAGGCUGUACAAAGACUAAAAAUAAACUUUCUACUG